AGGUAAGCUACUAAGAGCGAAUGGUGGAUGCCUUGACUGGUAAAGGCGAUGAAGGACGUACUAGACUGCGAUAAGCUACGGGGAGCUGUCAAGAAGCUUUGAUCCGUAGAUUUCCGAAUGGGGCAACCCAAUGUAUAGAGAUAUACAUUACCUAUAUAGGAGCGAACGAGGGGAAUUGAAACAUCUUAGUACCCUCAGGAAAAGAAAUCAAUAGAGAUUGCGUCAGUAGCGGCGAGCGAAAGCGCAAGAGGGCAAACCCAGUGCUUGCACUGGGGGUUGUAGGACUGCAAUGUGCAAGAGGUAAGUUUAGCAGAACAUUCUGGAAAGUAUAACCAUAGAGGGUGAUAGUCCCGUAUGCGAAAAACAAACCUUAGCUAGCAGUAUCCUGAGUAGGGCGGGACACGAGGAAUCCUGUCUGAAUCCGGGUCGACCACGAUCCAACCCUAAAUACUAAUACCAGAUCGAUAGUGCACAAGUACCGUGAGGGAAAGGUGAAAAGAACUGAGGUGAUCAGAGUGAAAUAGAACCUGAAACCAUUUGCUUACAAUCAUUCAGAGCCUUAUGUAGCAAUACAGGGUGAUGGACUGCCUUUUGCAUAAUGAGCCUGCGAGUUGUGGUGUCUGGCAAGGUUAAGCAAACGCGAAGCCGUAGCGAAAGCGAGUCUGAAUAGGGCGCUUAGUCAGAUGCUGCAGACCCGAAACGAAGUGAUCUAUCCAUGAGCAAGUUGAAGCUAGUGUAAGAACUAGUGGAGGACUGAACCCAUAGGCGUUGAAAAGCCCCGGGAUGACUUGUGGAUAGGGGUGAAAGGCCAAUCAAACUUCGUGAUAGCUGGUUCUCUCCGAAAUAUAUUUAGGUAUAGCGUUGUGUCGUAAUAUAAGGGGGUAGAGCACUGAAUGGGCUAGGGCAUACACCAAUGUACCAAACCCUAUCAAACUCCGAAUACCUUAUAUGUAAUCACAGCAGUCAGGCGGCGAGUGAUAAAAUCCGUCGUCAAGAGGGAAACAACCCAGACUACCAGCUAAGGUCCCUAAAUCUUACUUAAGUGGAAAACGAUGUGAAGUUACUUAAACAACCAGGAGGUUGGCUUAGAAGCAGCCAUCCUUUAAAGAAAGCGUAAUAGCUCACUGGUCUAGUGAUUUUGCGCGGAAAAUAUAACGGGGCUAAAGUAAGUACCGAAGCUGUAGACUUAGUUUACUAAGUGGUAGGAGAGCGUUCUAUUUGCGUCGAAGGUAUACCGGUAAGGAGUGCUGGAGCGAAUAGAAGUGAGCAUGCAGGCAUGAGUAGCGAUAAUUAAUGUGAGAAUCAUUAACGCCGUAAACCCAAGGUUUCCUACGCGAUGCUCGUCAUCGUAGGGUUAGUCGGGUCCUAAGUCGAGUCCGAAAGGGGUAGACGAUGGCAAAUUGGUUAAUAUUCCAAUACCAACAUUAGUGUGCGAUGGAAGGACGCUUAGGGCUAAGGGGGCUAGCGGAUGGAAGUGCUAGUCUAAGGUCGUAGGAGGUUAUACAGGCAAAUCCGUAUAACAAUACUCCGAGAACUGAAAGGCUUUUUGAAGUCUUCGGAUGGAUAGAAGAACCCCUGAUGCCGUCGAGCCAAGAAAAGUUUCUAAGUUUAGCUAAUGUUGCCCGUACCGUAAACCGACACAGGUGGGUGGGAUGAGUAUUCUAAGGCGCGUGGAAGAACUCUCUUUAAGGAACUCUGCAAAAUAGCACCGUAUCUUCGGUAUAAGGUGUGGUUAGCCUUGUAUUAGG
rnacentral:rRNA from 1 species